AACGAUGUAGCGUGUGUAUCGGUUAAGCGAUUAGGGGUUAAUGUCUAAAACCGAAGGUCUUGGGUUCGAGCCCCUGUGGCGCGGCCUUUAAAUUUCUUUAUUUAAUCAUGUUAAUUUAUCAAAAAUAAAUAAAUUAAAUGAUGUAUCAAAUAAAUAAAAAAUAAAUAUUAAAUAUAGUUAGAAUAUAAGUAAAUGUAAAUUAUUUUUUCUUAAAAAAUAAAAUAAUCUAC
rnacentral:lncRNA from 1 species